CAUGAAGAAAAUGUUCACCUAAAGGCUUCUAAGUGAUGUUUUGAUAAAAAUGGUUUAUCUGUGAGAUCCAGUUCUAUCAAUGAAAGUUUGUUUCCACAAAAUUUGCUGUUUAAAAAUAACCCAUUUAGAAAGACAUAGCAACAGCAAAUAUUCCUUACGUCUUUCUGAACAGGUUACUUUUAAUAUGUAGAAAGGACAUUCAUGCAUUUUUGAGUGAUAGAAACAGAAGUUAGAGUGAUACGAGAAGCAAAAGAAGGAAGUAGAAUGAAAGCGCCACGAAGGAAAAAUGUGACUUUGUAACGUGGUGCUGUUGAACAUGCUGAUUUGUGAUCUGGACUUAAUGAAGAACUACCAAGCUGCUGAAUUUAUACUACACUGAUUAUUUCAAGAAACAUUUUCAAGUGCCUACGCUGUAUUACUCACCAUGGUACCCUACGUAAGUAUAAUCUCAGACUAUAAUAAUUUAGGUAACAUAAAGAAAAGUCACGGAAGUGAAGGAGCAAGGCAUUUGGAGAGAAGAGCUAUGAAGCCCAAUCUGAAUGACAGAGGUCUUUUGUCAGGAAGGACAGGAGACAGGGCUAGUGAGAGGUCCAAAAGAGUGAAAAAAGGUUUUAGGCUAGACAAUGCUCCACACCACAAGCCACACUGGCCAGGGCAGACCCUUAGUUCUUGGUGACUGCUGGCCUGGCAACAGAGAAAAAGAGUCAGAAGUGACUAUGGGUUCAGAACCUGCAUCCUUAGGAAAAAUGAGUUAUUCUCAUUUUACCUCUGUGUAUAAGCUACACUAAGAGUUUGCUUUUGAAUGGGUAAUCUAUAUGAUUUUUAAAACAUUCUUUUGUUAUUUUCUGUGCAUACUUUUGGAUAUUUGGAUACUUUUGUUACAGUAUAGGCCUUGUUUUUAACUAUCUGGAUCCAAAUCAUAUCUUCAGGAUGAGGUCUUAAUAUGGUCCUAAGAUAUGAAGUCUUAUUUUGUCCUACAGGUCUAGUUAAAGCAGUGACCCCUUUGAAUUAAGACUGUCCAUGAAGGAAUUGGGAAGAAGAAUAAAGUAGAUCAUCCCAUCUCCUAUCCUAUGCUUUUUAGUUUUUCAUGCCUACUACUCUCUUCCAUCUUAGCCGUUGACAUUAGUGUUUUAUUUGCUUCAAAGCAAAUCAUACCAUGCAUAGCUACAGAGCUAGGAUUAUAGAGUGGACUUCAAACAAACUUAAGCAAAGAUCCCAAGAAAAGAAUUAUUUAUGUUUUUGUAACCACCACACUUGUACACACAUGUGGUGUGUGUG